rnacentral:rRNA from 1 species
UACAGAGGGGGCAAGCGUUAUUCGGAAUUAUUGGGCGUAAAGGGCGCGUAGGCGGCCUGGCAAGUGGAUGGUGAAAUCCCUCGGCUUAACCGAGGAACUGCCAUCCAGACUGCUUGGCUUGAGACCGGGAGAGGUGAGUGGAAUUCCCAGUGUAGCGGUGAAAUGCGUAGAUAUCGGUAGGAACACCAGUGGCGAAGGCGGUCUCCUGGGGCAUUCUUGACGCUGAGGCGCGAAAGCUGGGGGAGCAAACGGG